rnacentral:rRNA from 1 species
AUUGAACGCUGGCGGCAGGCCUAACACAUGCAAGUCGAGCGAGCGACGGACGGGUGAGGACUGUAUGGCGGCUGCCAGAUAGAGGGGGAUAACGAAUGGAAACGGUAGCUAAUACCGCAUACUAACGGAUAACCCAGAUCGGAUUAGCUAGUAGGUGAGGUAAUGGCCUACCUAGGCGACGAUCCCUAGCUGGUCUGAGAGGAUGAUCAGCCACACUGGGACUGAGACACGGCCCAGACUCCUACGGAGGCAGCAGUGGGGAAUAUUGCACAAUGGGCGAAAGCCUGAUGCAGCCAUGCCGCGUGUAUGAAGAAGGCCCUCGGAUUGUAAAGUACUUUCAGUCGGGAGGCGUUACCGACAGAAGAAGCACCGGCUAACUCCGUGCCAGCAGCCGCGGUAAUUC